ACACUACUGAAGAGUCCCACAAUAGGACGAAACGGUCGUUCAGUGC
rnacentral:hammerhead_ribozyme from 1 species